rnacentral:rRNA from 1 species
AAAGACGGCCAUAGGGGCGUGGCGUACCCGUUCCCAUUUCGAACACGGAAGUCAAGCACGCCACCGUACCGGGGUGUACUGCACUCAGUUGUGGGAAACCCGGUAAGCUGUCCACC